CUAGUCACCUCCCCGCAGAGAACACUGGCAGCGAGGGAGCAAUGAGCGAGGAGGUGCCGGCAGGCUCGGCCUUCACCUUCCCGCUGGCUGUGACCUUGGGCGGUCCCUGAAGCGGCGAGGGGUUUCUUCGCAGGGGCCCCAGUCACUGAACCUGAGAGGGCAGAGGGAAACGCCCUCCCUUCCUCACAGCGCUGUUGUGUACAGAGCCACUCGGAUCCUGGCACAGGGCAAGAAAUGCUAACGGACCCAUCCCAGAAUCGCUGCUGGGAAAUGCUGUCACCGUGCUUCUGGCCGUGUGCGAUGUUCUUUCCCCGGCUGCAAUAAACAGCCUCUCCUUGUCCUUCAAUGUCCAAUGGCACCUCCCUUAAGGGACAUAGUGCAGCUACCCCGUCAUCUCCGCCAAGAGGCAGCAGAGUGUGGGAUCAGUAGGAAUAUAGACUCAAGAGCUAGAACACCCUCACCAGGUGUGUGACCUUAUGGAAAACCAGGUGCUUGGAAGAACUGAGGAAUCGGUGAUGAGAUGCUGUCACCAAGGUACCAAGUCAGAGAGCUGAGGCCUGACCAUGCUCCUGAAUAACCAGCACAGGGGAGCAAGCCGAGAAGAUCAGGAAUUUCAGUUAAGUGUUCCUACCAGCUCUGAAAAUGCCAGGAGAGAGACACAUUUCCCCAUCCACCGGCUCCCUCUAAAAAAAUCUUAUCUGUCCCUGGGGAGCCCUGUUAUCCUUUAUAUCAACCAAUGGAAAGGACAUUUGGAGGACGCUUUAUCCAAUGCUUCUUUAACAUUAGAUUUAAACCUGCUCACCCACAGCUUUUUUAGACACAAUUGAAAAUAAACAUUGCAAAGUCUUGCUCACUGAGCUGUAAGUA